rnacentral:RNase_P_RNA from 1 species
GUCGGAUAAAUGAUCGCUCCUUCAAAGGCCGAAAGGCCGGAGGAGAGGAAAGUCCGGGCUUCACAGGGCAGGGUGCCGGAUAACGUCCGGUGGAGGCGACUCCAAAGAUAGUGCAACAGAAAUAUACCGCCCGCAUUUUCGCGUGGUAAGGGUGGAAAGGCGAGGUAAGAGCUCACCGAUUUCCUGGUAACAGGAGAUGCCAUGUAAACCUCACCCGAAGCAAGACCGAACAGAAAACCAUGAUCCGGCCCGGAUCGUUUUCAGGUGGGUCGCUGGAGUCUGCCGGCAACGGCAGAAGGAGACAGAUGAUCAUUCACGACAGAACCCGGCUUAUCGUCCGGCUCU